UCCGUGAUCUAUAUCUUCUUC
rnacentral:piRNA from 1 species